rnacentral:rRNA from 1 species
UGCGUAGGCGGGCCGAUAAGUCGGAUGUGAAAUCUCACAGCUUAACUGUGAGUCGCCAUUCGAAACUGUCGGUCUUGAGUGCAGGAGAGGAAAGUGGAAUUCCUGGUGUAGCGGUGAAAUGCGUAGAUAUCAGGAGGAACACCGGUGGCGAAGGCGGCUUUCUGGACUGACACUGACGCUGAGGCACGAAGGCCGGGGGAGCAAACAGGAUUAGAUACCCUGGUAGUCC